rnacentral:rRNA from 1 species
GGUGCGUAAAUCGUGAGAAUCUGCCCUUAGAGAGGAUAACUGCUGGAAACGGCUGCUAACACUCCAUAUGUCGAGAGAUGAAUAAUUUAUUGCCUAAGGAUGACGUCGCGCCUGAUUAGCUUGUUGGUGAGGUAAUGGCUCACCAAGGCCACGAUCAGUAGCUGGUUUGAGAGAACGAUCAGCCACACUGGGACUGAGACACGGCCCAGACUCCUCNGGGAGGCAGCAGUGAGGAAUUUUCCGCAAUGGGCGAAAGCCUGACGGAGCAAUACCGCGUGAGGGAUGAAGGAUUUUGGUCUGUAAACCUCUUUUCUCAAGAAAGAAGUUCUGACGGUACUUGAGGAAUAAGCAUCG